GUUAUGUGCCAGAGGAUGGGGCUGCGGCCGAUCAGGCCGUUGGCGAGGUAACGGCUCACCAAACCUUUGACCGGUACGGGCCAUGAGAGUGGUAGCCCGGAGAUGGACACUGAGACAGGGGUCCAGGCCCUACGGGGCGCAGCAGGCGCGAAAACUCCACACUGUACGUAAGUACGAUGGGGUUACCUCGAGUGUAGUCUGUAAAAGAUUGCUUUUCCAUAGAGUAAUAUCCUGUGGGAAUAAGAGGGGGGCAAGACUGGUGUCAGCCGCCGCGGUAACACCAGCCCCUCGAGUGGUAGGGACUUUUAUUUGGCCUAAAGCGUUCGUAGCCGUCUGUAACCGUUGCCCGUUAAAUCCAGCGUCUCAAGCGUUGGACUGCGGGCGAUACCUUACAGAUUGAGGGUGGGAUAGGUAAGCGGUAUUUCUGGGGUAGGGGCGAAAUCCUUUGAUCCCAGGAGGACCACCAGUGGCGAAGGCUGCUUACUAGAACACGCCUGACGGUCAGGAACGAAAGCUGGGGUAGCGAACCGGAUUAGAUACCCGGGUAGUCCCAGCUGUAAACGAUGCGCGCUAGGUGUUGGGUCGGCCAUGCGCCGCCCCAGUGCCGCAGGGAAGCCGUUAAGCGCGCCGCCUGGGGAGUACGGCCGCAAGGCUGAAACUUAAAGGAAUUGGCGGGGGAGCAC
rnacentral:rRNA from 1 species